UGGGGUAUAGCUUAGUGGUAGAGUACAUGCUUAGCAUGCACAAGGUCCUGGGUUCAAUCCCUAGUAUCUCCA
rnacentral:tRNA from 1 species